rnacentral:rRNA from 1 species
GAUUAACGCUGGCGGCGUGCCUAAUGCAUGCAAGUCGAACGUGGUCCCUUCGGGGAUGCGCGUGGCGGACGGGUGAGGAACACGUGGGGAACCUGCCCAUUGGUGGGGGGUAGCCCGCGGAAACGCGGGUAAUUCCGCAUACGCUGGCCGGUCGCUAGGACUGGUCAGGAAAGGGUCUUCGGACUCGCCGAUGGAGGGGCCUGCGCCCGAUUAGCUGGUUGGUGGGGUAACGGCCUACCAAGGCGGUGANCGGUAGCUGGUCUGAGAGGACGGCCAGCCACAGGGGAACUGAGACACGGUCCCCACUCCUACGGGAGGCAGCAGCAAGGAGUUUUCCGCAAUGGGCGCAAGCCUGACGGAGCAACGCCGCGUGGGGGAUGACACCUUUCGGGGCGUAAACCCCUUUUCUUGGGACGAAGCAGUGACGGUACUGAGGAAGAAGGCCCGGCUAACUACGUGCCAGCAGCCGACGGU